CAUGCUUCUUAAAGUCAGGGCCAGCGGUUCGAAGCCUUGGUCGCAAAUUAGAAUCACCCCUGGAGCUUUGACAAACUGCCGCCCUGGAAUGGGUAAAUAUGUUGCGUGUGCACACCGUGAAAUUCGCACAGCACCGAACGUAGGCGAUGUCCAGCAACAUGGAUGAAUCUCACAAACGUAACGCCGAAAGGCAUUUGCUAGACAUCAGACUACAUAUUGUAUAAUUACUUUUAUGAAGCGCAGAGACGGAUACAGUUAGGAGCGAGGAAGGCAGGUGACUUCGCCAAAGGGCCAGUGUUCUCCCCGUGGGUGAAGGGCACCACCAUCACCUGGGGGGCGUGAGGGAGAUUUCUGGGGACUGAUUUAAACUUCCAUUUAUCUAUCAGGGUGUUGGUGACACGGUGUGUACAGUGUGACAGUUCCCUGAGCCAUGCACUGGAGAUGUGUCUUUUUCUAGAUGUAUGUUGUACUUUGAUACAGAGUUUUAAACGUUUCCUCCCCCAACCUUGCAUAGUGCAGUGCUCAGUAAAAUGGGUUGAAUGAGUGGAUGACAAUUAGCAGAAGUUAUGGCCCUGGUGACCUUAUUCAGGUUUUAAAUAUCCUCAUGUAGGCCGGCAACUCUUGGAUUUUUAUUCAUCCCGAUCUCCCUCUGCUAAAUCCAAAUCUGUCAUGUAGCUUGUCCCCCUGAUACUUUUAUUUGGCAGCUCUAGGCAUCUCAGAGAUGGCCUCUCCAAGACAGAAAUCUUCAUUUUGUCCUCCUUUCUUCCAGCAGUGUUCUCCACCUUGGUGAAGGGCAUCACCAUUCACUCAGCCUCCUCUGGUUCAAGCAGCGAUCACCUCCUGCCUAGACUGUUACCGUAGCUCACGAGUCAGAUCCUGACACUUCACUGCUCAGAAUCCUCCCAUGGCUCCCCAUUACCCUUGGAAUAAAAUGCAAACUCCUCAAUAUGGCCUUAUUAUGGCUGUCCUGAUCUGGCCCCUGCCAAUUCCCUGGAUUCACCUCUUACACUUGUCCCCCUUACUUUCUUUGUUCCUGCCAUGGUUGUCUGUUCUCUGUCCCUUGAAUAAACUGAGCUGCCGCCCAUC